rnacentral:rRNA from 1 species
CGAUAUCCAACUCAUCCGAGGCUGGAUAAUCGGAAUGAGAACACUUUAAAUCCUUUAUCGAGGAUCCAUUGGAGGGCAAGUCUGGUGCCAGCAGCCGCGGUAAUUCCAGCUCCAAUAGCGUAUAUUAAAGUUGUUGCGGUUAAAAAGCUCGUAGUUGAAUCUGUGUGCCACACUGUCGGUGCGCCGCUCGCGGUGCCUAACUGACUAGAUCGUGGGACGUCCUACCGGUGGACUUAGCUCGAGUCUUCGUCACGUGCGUGUGUGCGCCCGCGUUGCGUCAAGUGGCGCGUCGCGCGCGCGCGUAUCGUUACGUUGCGCGAGGGCGGUCCAGCUUAAUCCCAUCGUCAUGCUCUUUACCGAGUGUGGAGGUGGGCCGGUACGUUUACUUUGAACAAAUUAGAGUGCUCAACGCGGGCUUGUUAUUGCCUGAAUACUAGUGCAUGGAAUAAUGGAAUAGGACCUCGGUUCUAUUUUGUUGGUUUUAUUAUUGGAACCACGAGGUAAUGAUUAAUAGGGACAGAUGGGGGCAUUCGUAUUGCGACGUUAGAGGUGAAAUUCUUGGAUCGUCGCAAGACGAACGGAAGCGAAAGCAUUUGCCAAAAAUGUUUUCAUUAAUCAAGAACGAAAGUUAGAGGCUCGAAGGCGAUCAGAUACCGCCCUAGUUCUAACCAUAAACGAUGCCAGCUAGCGAUCCGUCAACGUUCCUUUGAUGACUUGACGGGCAGCUUCCGAGAAAUCAAAGCUUUUGGGUUCCGGGGGAAGUAUGGUUGCAAAUCUGAAACUUAAAGGAAUUGACGGAAGGGCACCACCAGGAGUGGAGCCUGCGGCUUAAUUUGACUCAACAC